GAUGAACGCUGGCGGCGUGCCUAACACAUGCAAGUCGAGCGAACGGACGAGAAGCUUGCUUCUCUGAUGUUAGCGGCGGACGGGUGAGUAACACGUGGAUAACCUACCUCUAAGACUGGGAUAACUUCGGGAAACCGGAGCUACUACCGGAUAAUAUUUUGAACCGCAUGGUUCAAAAGUGAAAGACGGCCUUUCUGUCACUUAUAGAUGGAUCCGCGCUGCAUUAGCUAGUUGGUAAGGUAACGGCUUACCAAGGCAACGAUGCAUAGCCGACCUGAGAGGGUGAUCGGCCACACUGGAACUGAGACACGGUCCAGACUCCUACGGGAGGCAGCAGUAGGGAAUCUUCCGCAAUGGGCGUAAGCCUGACGGAGCAACGCCGCGUGAGUGAUGAAGGUCUUCGGAUCGUAAAACUCUGUUAUUAGGGAAGAACAUAUGUGUAAGUAACUGUGCACAUCUUGACGGUACCUAAUCAGAAAGCCACGGCUAACUACGUG
rnacentral:rRNA from 1 species